UCAUGUCUGACAAAUCUAU
rnacentral:miRNA from 1 species